rnacentral:rRNA from 1 species
GUGGGGAAUAUUGGACAAUGGGCGAAAGCCUGAUCCAGCCAUGCCGCGUGUGUGAAGAAGGUCUUCGGAUUGUAAAGCACUUUAAGUUGGGAGGAAGGGCAGUAAGUUAAUACCUUGCUGUUUUGACGUUACCGACAGAAUAAGCACCGGCUAACUCUGUGCCAGCAGCCGCGGUAAUACAGAGGGUGCAAGCGUUAAUCGGAAUUACUGGGCGUAAAGCGUGCGCAGGCGGUUUUGUAAGACAGGUGUGAAAUCCCCGGGCUCAACCUGGGAACUGCCUCCAAAACUGCAUGACUAGAGUACGGUAGAGGGUAGUGGAAUUUCCUGUGUAGCGGUGAAAUGCGUAGAUAUAGGAAGGAACACCAGUGGCGAAGGCGACUACCUGGACUGAUACUGACACUGAGGUGCGAAAGCGUGGGGAGCAAACAGGAUUAGAAACCCGUGUAGUCC